CUGGAAAUGAGAAUAUUAUGUCUCCUUUAAAAGCUCAAGUUGGUGGAGACCAAAAAUGGAGUGAAAAGAAAGUGAAUACCAGACUUAUAUUCAUCAGAUGGCCAGAAACACAACUCCAAAUGAUGAUGUUUGACAGCUGGAUGUGUACAUAAAGAUUUACUGACAAUACAAUACAGUUUUUUAUGGGUGUGACUGAACUGUAGAGCAUUAACUGACAAUAUUAUUAAUUAUUGCAGUUUAAAGACGAAACAGAAGGUGUCUCACUUUGAAUUUUAGUUCUGAACAGUGUAACACGAUGUUGCUCAGCUGUGGUUAAUGUCCUUCAUACCUUAAGCAUCUUGGUGUCCUCUCUCUUCAGUUGGCCCGGACAUUCCUCAGAUAGACGUGACUCCGUUCAGUAUAACAGAGCGAGGAUAUUCAGCCCUGGAGAGAGAGACUGUUUCUUUACUGUGUCAAGCCCAGUCCAACCCGGCAAGUCAGUACGUCUGGUUCUACAACAACUCCCAGGUCUACACGGGGCCGCAGUUCACCAUCACCAAGAUCCUCCGCAUGCACACUGGCGACUAUGCCUGCUUGGCGCAGAACACCUACCUCAACACCCGCUCCAAAAAAACCAUCAGCCUGACUGUCUACUCGGAACCACGCUACAACGUGUACCCUGCUGUGAUUGGAGCAGCUAUAGGUGGGAUGCUCUUCGCAGCCAUCGUCACGGCGCUGCUGCUCCUGUUCAUAAUCCGCAACCGCAACAACAAUCCUCGUGAGUCACGUACCCAAGCACGAACAUCCCUUAAUAUAAUCAAUGCCCUGCCAUGUUUCAUUAAUGUUCUAUGUUCCUUCCCCCAGGACUACAUGAUAUGCUGUUUGGGUCGUAAGUACCUGUGUUUCUGUCUAAAGAAAUACUACCAGCAUUUAACAAUGUGCAGUUAUCUAUGCCAAGAUAUGCAAUUAAAACUGUUUUGUCCUCUGGUGUCUCCAGGCAGCACAGCCAGUCAAGGGAAAACAUCAACUUGCCGGAGGAUGAAGUGGUUGGCGGGUCUGAGGGAGGAAUAGAGGAGAUCGGUGGAUUAGCCAGUCCAGGUCCAACCUUGGCUCUACCCCGGGCGUCUUCACCCCUCACCACCUCACCCCUGAGUGCCACCCCCACCACGAGCCAAGCGCCUCCCCCUGGAGACGACAACGAACCUGUCAGCGUCACCAUCACCGUCAAGGCUACAGGCUCAUAGUCACAUGUCACAGACUCCUUCGGUUGUAGAUGAACGUGGAAAUAAUGUUUUUGUAGACAGCGGACAGUUUGUGCAGUCACUGACUUGGAUCAUAUCUCGACUACAUUAGCAGUUACAAUCCUGUCCCAACUUUCUCUGCAAAACUUUGGCAUAAAGUAAUGUAAAGCACAGACACAAGGGAUCAAUUCAUUUCUAGACAAAAUGAUAUGCAUGUAUACCGUUUUUUGAACAUGAAAAACCUUUUGUUUUAGCAGGCUACCUUCACAACAACCUAAUAUGCUCUUAGUAAGUACCCAGCAGAUGAUUAGGUCCAGAUGAUUUAUACAGUUUUUUUUUUGUUUAGUUUACUACACUUGGUACAUUUUGUGUUGAAACUAAUACUUUUUACACAUGAGCUAAGUGGUGUAAACAAGAGCUCAUAUGGACUGAUGAUGGUAAAUCAUUGACUGUACAGCUUUGGUGACUGAACCUGCAUCUUCAGCACUACAUGAAUCCACCAAAGGAAAAUAAAAUAAAGAAUAUUAUAAAGUGGAAGUACAUUUCUGCUGACUCACAGGAAGUUGUAGUGAACUGGCAUUGAUUGCUUUUCUUCUCUCAAUUCUGAAAUUGCCUUUUUAGGAAAAUUAUUUCUCCUUCAUUGAUUAAGGGGAUCUCAAGGUCUCCAAGUUUCGCCCCUUGGAAACAGCUGGGACAAUUGCGCCCC
rnacentral:lncRNA from 1 species